rnacentral:rRNA from 1 species
GGCGGCGUGCUUAACACAUGCAGUCGAACGAACCUUCGGGUUAGUGGCGGACGGGUGAGUAACGCGUGAGAAUCUGCCCUCAGGAGGGGGAUAACAGCUGGAAACGGCUGCUAAUACCCCAUAUGCCGCGAGGUGAAAUGAAUUUCGCCUGAGGAUGAGCUCGCGUCUGAUUAGCUAGUUGGUGUAGGUAAUGGCUCACCAAGGCAUCGAUCAGUAGCUGGUCUGAGAGGAUGAUCAGCCACACUGGGACUGAGACACGGCCCAGACUCCUACGGGAGGCAGCAGUGGGGAAUUUUCCGCAAUGGGCGAAAGCCUGACGGAGCAACGCCGCGUGAGGGAUGAAGGCCUCUGGGCUGUAAACCUCUUUUAUCAAGGAAGAAGAUCUGACGGUACUUGAUGAAUAAGCCACGG